AGAUGUUUCCUAAGAGAGAACCGAAGAGUUGUUCGGUCGCCGAAGAGGCAAACGGAGCGUAAAAGUGAGUGUGCGUGAUGUGAAACUUUCAGGCAAAAGGAGGAGGAAAUGGAC
rnacentral:ncRNA from 2 species